UACAGAGGGUGCGAGCGUUAAUCGGAAUUACUGGGCGUAAAGCGCGCGCAGGCGGCCAGCCAAGUCAGGGGUGAAAGCCCGGGGCUCAACCUCGGAACUGCCUUUGAGACUGGAUGGCUCGAGACCGAGAGAGGAGAGUGGAAUUCCCAGUGUAGAGGUGAAAUUCGUAGAUAUUGGGAAGAACACCGGUGGCGAAGGCGGCUCUCUGGCUCGGUACUGACGCUCAUGCGCGAAAGCGUGGGGAGCAAACAGG
rnacentral:rRNA from 1 species